UCUGAAGAGAACAUUCUUUCUUUUCUUUGUCAUCAAAUAAACACACCUGUACUAGGUGCUGGUUUCUCCCUGGACCGUAGUGUAGUGGGAGAUAGACUGAAAUACCUCCUCUUAUACUUCUGGGCAAACCUCAGAUACAUAAUUUGUGCAUGGGCCAAAUGGCCCUCAAGAUAUUGGGUUCCCUAAUAGAGCUACCAAAAGAUCAGAGAAUCAUAAGGUAAGGCACUGAGAAAAAAUGAAACUUUCCUUCUUUCCCAACGUCAAGGUGAUAGCCAGAUUCCAGCCUCAGUUGAGCGAUUUUUUUUUCAGUUUUCCAGUGUUUAGUUGUGUGCAUUAUUAUAACUCAGAAACAUUAUGGUAGUAUAGCGUUGCAUUUUUUCAGAUUUCUAUUUAGUAUUCUUAUUUCACUGGUCAAUGAAAUGACAGAAGAGAAAAUAUCAGCUCAUUAAAAUUAAAAAGACACCACCCACUAAUGUUGAUUGCUUUAAAGCAAAUUAAUCUCUAUACAUGCAGAAGGUGCUAUGGUUCCCUGUUUUGUGUGUGUGUGUGUUUGUUUUUUUUACCUUUUUAGAUCUGGUGAAUGCGAAAACCAGAUACUCUUGAAAGUAAGUAAGUAUCCAAAUAAGUGCAAAUUGCACUUCCAUACCAGUGUAUUUACUCCAGUGAUUGCAUGGAUUUUAUUUGACCAUGUGAUAAUUAGAGCACAUUCAAAUCACAAAUUCCCAUUUUACACUUUUUGAGUUUUUUUAAACCAGAAUGCACUAAUGGCCUACAGAGUACUUCAGUGUUAGGUGAUCAGAGAAACCAUUUAUAUGAUGUUCUUGCUAAUGGGGAACUUUAAAUGUGGGGAAGGCUAUCGUCAUGCAUGGAGGCUCUAAAUGGCCAGAAAAGGGAACCAGUAUAAUCAUCAGAGAGCAGUUUUACAUGUGGGUGAGUUGAAUGAUUGUUAUAGAUUCAAGCUAUAUAAAUGAAGGUACUUUAAGAAAUACACAUACACAGACACACAUACACACAAUUUGCUAUUGGUUUGGUAUGGACAAAUUAAUGUACAGAUAAUAUACAGGUUUAAAAAUUAAAAUACCCAUUCUGCACUAAUGGCAAAUGGGAAAAUAGACGGGAAAAGAGAGGCAGGUUUAGCCUGUGGACAAGUUGAGAGCCUUCUUUUUCUCCUCCAUUUCUUUUUAUUUCAGUUCCUUCUUUCAUCUGUGCCUAAGCCCACUCUGAGCCAGGUGAAGAGAAUGGACUCAUAAAAAUGUUGACUCUGAGGUGUGGACAAGGCAAGUGUUACCUUUCCCACAAUAGGCUUAUAAGGAUUUUGAGAGGGAUAUAUGGAGACAGCCAUUCUUAUUGGAUGGAACAAUAUCCUGAUGGUGACAUUUUAAGCAUUAGCAGGUAAUUGCCUCUUCUGUGUAUGAGGAAAGCUCUCCCUGGACAAAGAUCAGUUGCCAAUGUGUGUUUAGAUGAAACUGAGAAUAGUCCCCACUGAGCCACCAGUGGGAUCGGGUAGUGCCUGUUGUGAGGAGACCACUGGCCAGACAAGUUGGGGACAAAGGAACAGAGGAGUGGAGAAAAGCAGAAUGGGAAGAUAGAGUCUGGGUAAUGGGAGAGAAUAGGGCGGGGAUGAAUCCCUGGGUUCAAAUCCUGGACUACUACUUAACUAACGAUCAUUUUGUAGCUUAAUACCUAGUCAGGAAGUGAGUUGUUAAUCAAGUUAUUCAUAUGUUCACCAAAUAGCUAUUGAACUUACUAUAUUACAAACAUGGUAGGUGCUAUGAGGAAAAAGUACAUGUCACGAGAGACCUGAUCUAGUCUGGGGCAUCAGCGAACUUCACUGAUGGAGCUUCACAUUCUGAGACAGUGAAACUCGAGUUGAGGUAUAAACAAGGAAUAUGAAAAAUGAAGAGUUAUUUAGACAAGGGUAUGUGAAGGGAAAAUUCCUGAAGGAAGGAAGAGCAGGCUUAAGAUUCCUAAGGCAUAACAAGAGAAUACAGUAUGUUCUAAUGCACUGCAUGAAAGCCAGCAUGUCUGGAGCACAGCACAUAAAAGUGGAGAAAGCUGAGGCUGAGGAGUUGAGAAGGGGGCGGAGACUUCCAGGUCUACCUGUCCAUGGUAAAGCACUUGAACAUUAGUGUAAGGACAAUGGGAAGCCAUUGGCAGGUUUUAUGGAAGAUGGUGUUUUAAAUAGAUGUUUCUGGAAGUGUAAGGUGGACAAUGGAUUAAAGUAGACACCACACUGAAGGCAUGGUGACUAUUUAGGCAGCUGUUAGCAGCAGUCUGGACAAGGUAUGAUGGUUUCUUGGACUAAGGUAGAAUCAAGGAGAAAAAUGAAUGGAUUGUGUGACCUUGAACAAGUAGCUUCACCUCUCUGAGCCUAAUUAAGCUUAUUUUCUUUCAGGUUUGGCCUAACAUAUCUAAUGAAUACACUGGGUUUUGCCUCUCAGAUUAUCUGCUGCGCAUAACCUCCCUUAUACGUGUUAACUAUUCAAAAAAAAGUUUUAUGUCCACACUUGAUUUAUGAAUGAAACAUAGAACUAGCUUGGAGUCUUUAGAAUUUAUUCAGAAUUGUAUUAAAUUACUUCCUUUAGGCUGCUGGUCUGGAUGAGUUAUACAUUUUUGUAAUAAAAAUUGGCUUUCA
rnacentral:lncRNA from 1 species